GCUACAAGCCGGGCUAUCGUUCCGACGUUACAGUCGGGAAGGAAAGUCCGGACAGCACAGAGCAAUGCACCGGUGAAUAGCCGGGUCUUUUCUUACUUAGGCAGGAAAAGAACAGAUAGUGCCACAGAAAAUAACUAUCCGCCUGCGGGUGGACAAAGGUGAAAACGUAGGGUAAGAGCCUACGGCUUAUGAUGGUAACAUCAUUUGCGGGUAAACCUUGCAUGCUGAAAUGCCACGUAUAGUACCGUUUUGAGGGCUGCUCGUCCAAGGUACAGGGUAGGCAGAUUGAUCCCGCGGGGUAACUUGCGGGACAGAUAAAUGAUAGUCCACGACAGGAUCCGGCUUACAGGCUUGUAGCAAUU
rnacentral:RNase_P_RNA from 1 species